UUUGGACCUGAAAUAAAACAAGACAUUAAUUCUCCCCCAGCAUGAGCAAGCGUCAGUCGUGUGUCUCUGUGGCUCACUCUUUGUUGGUAUCUGUGUGGUUUGCCAGAUUAGAGGCUUGAGCCGUCUCCUGGUCUGGACCGGUCUUGGACUGAUAACCGACACGGAAGUCCUGCCAAUAAAGAUGAUUUCUUUUAGAUGAGCGAAUUUAUUGCUCAGAAGUCAUUCUUCAUGAUUCGAUCAACUCCCCAGAACACCACAAACAUUCAUCUUCAUUGAACACCCUGAAAUUGUACAUCUGAUUAUGUCAACAGAAAAGAUGAACACAGAAGAGUCAUUGUCCGUGAUAUUAAAGAGCGAGUUUUACCUGAGUGGAGUGUUGAAGGAUGGCCACAAGGCGCUCCUGAAUUCGGCGAAUCAGCUCCAAGCCGGUGUUAAGAUGCUCUGGCUUUAGGAGUCGCACACAGGAGGCCAGAUCAGUGCACUGCAACAGCGUCUCCUCUGAAGAAAAACAAAAUGACAGUAUUGAUCAUCAUUUUACCAAAAGGAAGCAAAAACUUGACUGUGAAACGGCAAAUCGUGUUUCAAAGGGUUGGUUGGUGUUGACAAGUAAACAGCCCCAUCAUUGCUCAAGAACAAUACAGACACAAUGGUAGAACACAGAGCGGGCUGUGGUUUCUAAUACAAACCGAGUAGGAUCUGC